CCUGCCCCCAGAGGAGUUAGAUGCAGGUGUGGCUGCUGUGUUCCAUGUGUGUCAGUAGGUGGCAGAGAGGAGAGAGGUUGUGCUCAGGGUUCUGAUUUAUGAACAUCUGAAUGAUUAGUAGCCUAAGAUUC
ensembl:snoRNA small nucleolar RNA SNORA17